CCCCACUGCACUCCAUCCAGCCUGGGUGACAGAGUGAGACCCUGUCUCAAAAAAUAAAAAUCAUUGUGUAUUUGUGAGUAAAAAGAAACAAAUCUUUAAAAGAUUAAAAACAAGAAAAAAUUAAUAUAUUUUAGUGAUUACCAUUUUGACUUCCCUGGAGCGACAGUAAACCCAAAAGAUAAAACCAAAAUCUAGUCAUUAAUAGUCACUGACACCAUAAGAACUAGAAGGCACCAUUUGAAGCUUAAAAAGAAGUUUAAAGACAUCUUAAAUUCAGACAAUAACUUUGCACAGUGGUUUGCGAACAUCGGUAAACCCAUAGCCUCAAGUGAUUCCUAUGGAAAGACACUGACACUCAGAUCAAGAAAUUUAAAUACAAAUUCAGGGCUUACUAAAAAAAUAAGCAGAUCAAGGGUCUCCAACAUCAACUGUAAAUACACACAUGUUAGGUUAAUUUAAAAAAUGAUCCACUGUUUUUUUACAAAAUUCCAAUGCCCAUAUGCUUCCAAAAAGGCACAACUGGCAUAGUUUUUGCUUCUAAAGGAGGUAAACUUUAAAAACGGACCUGUAGUUACAGACUGGCACUUAGAGGAGUUAACAUAAACAGGUGACUGACUCAUCAAUUACUCAUUUUUUCUGAGGAUUAUUUACCUACUAAGUGCAAGACUGGACUCAUAGCUUUAGCUCAGUCCUAGUGAAAACACUGUACAUAGGAUCUAUUAAUGGAGGCUGUGUCAUCAAGACCUCAGAAGUAGGGGCCAGUGUAUUUCUUAGACACUGAUGAAACAGAAGCAUCUCUCAGAAGAACCAUAAAGACAUGAGUAGCUCUGUGUUAAAACACAUCAUUUAUUUGGAAGGGAGAAAGGAACAGAGAAAGAACAAUAGAGAGGAACUCAGAGCAUUUCCUCUGUGGCUUCCCCCUUUGUGGUGCCAAUUUAAAAAAAAAAGUUCUUUAUUGUCUAAUGAUACUAAUUUUUAAAUAAUAGUCAUGUAAUGUGAGGCUAUAGAAGCAGUUAUUCUGAAGGAGAGAGUCACUCAUACAUGAACUAUCCAGGUUUCCAAUAAUAAAAACAUCACUCUAUUCCUAUUCAUGUAUUUGUUCAAUAAACACCCUAGCACAGUUCUAGGAUUAGGAAUAUGAAGAUGAAUAGUUUAACAUGUGACUUUAAGAGGCUGAUCUAGUUGGGGAAAUCAACCCAGAGAUAAUUAUAGUAUGUACAUGGUAUGAUGAUAGAUGUCUGCUCGUAGUGCUAUUGGACCUCUGAAAAAAUCAAUGGCUGAAAUUAGUAUUAAAGGAUGACUAAGUUUUAGCCAGAAGUGGGACGAGAGUGCUCCAGGUAGAGGGGACAAACAUUAAGAAAAUCAUGGAGGUAAAGGCCAGGCACGGUGGCUCAUGCCUAUAAUCCCAGCACUUUGGGAGGCCAAGGUGGGAGGAUUGCUUGAACCCAGGAGUUUGAGACCAGCUUGGGCAAUAUAGUGAGACUACAUUUCUCCAAAAAAAAAAAAAAAAAAAA
rnacentral:lncRNA from 1 species